rnacentral:lncRNA from 1 species
AUGAUGUCAGCAAGAAGGCAAGUGUCCUGCAGCCCACAACUAUGGAUGGUGGAACUUGAGGCUGGCUAUCCUUGCAGCCUGCUGGCAAGUCUCCAUUUGUCUUCAAUCAUUAAUUCAGGAACUUGGCUCAGUGCUUACCUGUGCUGGUACAGCCUUGCAAACAUGGUGAAUAUUCUUAAGAGCUGCCAGACUUUCUACAAACAUUUUAAACACCAGCCCGACAAAGUGACACAGCACAACAAGAGUUGAUUAGAAUCCUCGGUCUGUUGAAGGUAAGUGACCUUCUGCCAGGAAACAGAGUAGGUUCUGUGGAGACUAAAUCUAUUUUUUUUAUGAAAAGGGUAACACUGUGCUGAAGCUUGAGUUUGUUGACCACAGCUGCAAAAACUAAUAAGAGGCUUGGAAGUGAAUAGCAGGGAUGGAGUUGAGAAUCAUCUCUAAGGAAUGUGCUCUGAAGACAAUAAAAUAAUGACCAAAUUAAUGAUUUACA